CGGGGUGCAGCAGGCGCGAAAACUUUACAAUGCGGGAAACCGUGAUAAGGGAACUCCGAGUGCCCGUAAAAUCGGGCUGUCCAUCUGUUUAAAUAACAGGUGAAGAAAGGGCCGGGCAAGACCGGUGCCAGCCGCCGCGGUAAUACCGGCGGCUCGAGUGGUGGCCACUAUUACUGGGCUUAAAGCGUUCGUAGCUGGUCUGUUAAGUCUCUGGGGAAAUCUACUGGCUUAACCAAUAGACGUUUCAGGGAUACUGGCAGACUAGGGACCGGGAGAGGUGAGAGGUACUCCAGGGGUAGGAGUGAAAUCCUGUAAUCCUUGGGGGACCACCUGUGGCGAAGGCGUCUCACCAGAACGGCUCCGACAGUGAGGGACGAAAGCUGGGGGAGCAAACCGGAUUAGAUACCCGGGUAGUCCCAGCCGUAAACGAUGUGCGUUAGGUGUAUCGAUGACCACGAGUCAUCGAGGUGCCGAAGAGAAAUCGUGAAACGUACCGCCUGGGAAGUACGGUCGCAAGGCUGAAACUUAAAGGAAUUGGCGGGGGAGCAC
rnacentral:rRNA from 1 species